CUUGUACUCCCUCCGUCCCAAAAUUCUUGUCUUAUAUUUGUCUAAAUACGGAUGUAUCAAGUCACGUUUUAGUAUUUAGAUACAUCCGUGUCUAGACAAAUCUAAGACAAGAAUUUUGGGAUGGAGGGAGUACAAU
rnacentral:pre_miRNA from 1 species